rnacentral:rRNA from 1 species
UACGAAGGGGGCUAGCGUUGCUCGGAAUCACUGGGCGUAAAGCGCACGUAGGCGGAUUGCUAAGUCAUGUGUGAAAUCCCCCGGCUCAACCGGGGAAUGGCGCCUGAUACUGGUGGACUCGAGAUCGGUAGGGGUGAGUGGAACUCCAGGUGGAGCGGUGAAAUGCGUAGAGAUCGUGAGGAAGACCAGUGGCGAAGGCGGGUCUCUGGACAGUUCCUGACACUGAGGCACGAAGGCCAGGGGAGCAAACGGG